AUAUUAACAAUUAUCAUAUGUGUAUCUCUAUAUAUAUCCCGAUCCGUAAGCUAUCUUUGUCAAUCUAUAUAGUCACGUAACAUAAUGUUAUAUACCGUACCAUAACUCAUUGCCUAAAUGCAAAUAGUUAAUGAAAACGACGUAUACCAUAUGAAAGUGAAAUUUGUUCACCACUAAUAUUAAGAUUGGAGCAUAGGGUAGAUAUAAGUGCCUUUCAAAUUUAAGUUAAAUUAGUCUAGGUUAUUAUUGGAACAUGUUCAUCAAAACUUUCAAA
rnacentral:lncRNA from 1 species